GUAAGGAAUAUUGGGCAAUGGACGCAAGUCUGACCCAGCCAUGCCGCGUGAAGGAUGACGGCCCUAUGGGUUGUAAACUUCUUUUGUACGGGAAAAAACCCCCCGACGUGUCGGGGGUUGAUGGUACCGUAAGAAUAAGCAUCGGCUAACUCCGUGCCAGCAGCCGCGGUAAUACGGAGGAUGCAAGCGUUAUCCGGAUUCAUUGGGUUUAAAGGGUGCGUAGGCGGGAUAAUAAGUCAGUGGUGAAAUCCUACAGCUUAACUGUAGAACUGCCAUUGAUACUGUUAACCUUGAGUACAUUUGAAGUGGGCGGAAUGUGUCAUGUAGCGGUGAAAUGCUUAGAUAUGACACAGAACACCGAUAGCGAAGGCAGCUCACUAAACUGUAACUGACGCUGAGGCACGAAAGCGUGGGGAGCAAACAGGAUUAGAUACCCUUGUAGUCC
rnacentral:rRNA from 1 species